AAAAAAAAAGUAUAUGUAUUUUGCUGUUGUUGGGUGAAGUGUUCUAUAAAUUAGAUCCAGUUUAUUGAAGGUGUUCUACAGUUCUCCUAGAUUUUUGCCGAUUACUUGUUCUCUCACUAUGAAAGGUAUUGUGUGUGUUAUAUGUGUCUAACAAUUCAUUGUCUAGUUAGAGUUGCUAUUAUACCACUUCAAGUGGAUGGAGAGCCUCACUGCCAUCCAUUAAUGUGCAUUAAUCAUUUUGAGAGUGAAAAGAUUUUUUAAAAUGUUUUUACUCUUUUAGGUAUGGCCAAGUGAGAUGGGGCUAGUGAAAUGGGUGGGAGAAUUGGAAGCUGAUAGUGUGUGAGCUAGACACCCAUGAAUGCUUUUCCACUGGGCAGUUAGAGGGAUGAUAGGUAAUAAUAUAAGGCAGCUCCAUCACACAAGCUGGUGACUCCUGUGCGACAGACCAAGAGCUGCAUUUGGAGAUUCAUUUCCGAUUGUUGCGUUUCCUCUUAGAGCAUUGCUUGGUCAUCGUGUUCUGAGUGGUCCAUUGGCCUCCAUGUCCCUUUUGGGGUGGAUAUUUGCUCAGUGACUUUUGAGCAGCUGGAUCUCCUGCUUCGGCAGGUCUGGGCAGCGUCUUCCUGAACAGCCUGAAGCAGAAGGUGGUGACCCUGGCAAGCAGCGCAGACGUGCUGAGCACCGUGCAGUCGGCCUCCCAGGCCAUGCUGCAGAGCGGCUGGUCCAUGCUGUUGCCCACCGCUGAGAAGCAGGCCCGGGCACUCUGCUCUCCUGUCCUGUGGAGACUUUCUAUUUCAGUUUCAGGCAAUGAAGUGAACAUAAGUCCAGGUCAUCGAUUGGUGAUUGAUCUUCUGGUGGGCAGCUUGAUGGCUGAUGGAGGGUUGGAGUCAGCCUUACACGCAGCCAUUACUGCAGAGAUCCAGGAUACAAAAAAAGAAGCACGGAAGGAAAAAGAAAUUUAUGAACAGGAGGCAAAUGCCUCAACAUUUCAUAGAAGGAGGACUCCAUUGGAUAAAGACCUUAUUAAUACGGGGAUCUGUGAGUCUUCUGGCAAACAGUGUUUGCCUCUGGUUCAGCUCAUACAACAGCUUCUUAGGUAAAUCAUAUUAGCUGUAUUGUAUUGUGUUUUAUUUAUUUACUUUUUUUUUUUUGAGACAGAGUUUCGCUCUUGUUGCCCAGGCCGGAGUGCAGUGGUGCGAUCUUGACUCACUGCAACCUCCGCCUCCCAGGUUCAAGUAAUUCCUCUGCCUCAGCCUCUCGAGCAGCUGGGAUUACAGGCAUGCGCCACCAUGCCCCACUAAUUUUGUAGUUUUAUUAGAGACAGGGUUUCUUCAUGUUGGUCAGGCCGGUCUUGAACUCCCGACCUCAGGUGGUCCAUCCACUUUGGCCUCCCAAAAUGUUGGGAUUACAGGCAUUAGCCACCACGCCUGGCCUAUUUAUUUACUUAUUAAUGGUGUUUUUUGUUUUUUGUUUUUUUUUUGAGAUGGAGUCUUGCUCUAUCGUCCAGGCUGGAGUGCAGUGUCACGAUCUUGGCUCACUGCAACCCCCGCCUCCUGGGUUCAAGCUAUUCUCCUGCCUCAGCCUCCCGAGUAGCUGGGACUACAGGCGUCUGCAACCACACCUGGCUGAUUUGUGUAUUUUUAGUAGAGAUGGGGUUUUACCAUAUUGGUCAGGCUGGUCUCAAAUUCCUGACGUCAGGUGACCCACCUGCCUUGGCCUCUCAAAAUGUUGGGAUUACAGGUGUUAGCCACUGUUCCCGGCCUGUAUUGUAUUUUAAUAGGUGAUUAUUGGUUUUCAUAUUAAGAUAGUGAAAUCUAGCGCAAGGGUCUCAAAAAUUUGUUUGAUGAUUGAAGGAAUAUUCUGAAAAUUACCUAGUAUAGAUGUUAGGAUAAAGAGCAGACCCUUCUCAAUAUAGGUGAGAGGAGAAGUUGGAGGGUGUGAUGAUACUCAGAAGUUUUUCACAGAAGAGAAAUUGGGGCGUGCAGUAAACAUGUAAAAAGAUUCUUACUAAUAAGCAGGUAGGUGCGAAUGAAAAUCAUCAUGGAAGGUUAUUUUUAAAACUGGUUCUAUCAUUGCCUCACUUUACAUAUUACAGAGUUGUACCUACUACUUUGUAAGAUAACUUUUCUUUUCAAAACUGAAGUCAAUGUGAUAGAAUGGUGAGCAUUAUUUUGGAAGGCCAGACUAGGAGGAGGUGGGAGGAGGAAGUCAGACUCAGCCUGUGAACAGACGCUAACCUUGGCAGAAGCCAAAACAGUCAGACAGUGUUGUGUAAAAAUGAUCAUUCAAGAAGAGCGAAACAGCAAGGUGAUUUGUGAAAGAGAUUUAUUAGAAAAUGAAACACAUUUAUACCUCUGUUCAAUAAAAAUCUGCUUUUCGUCAA